rnacentral:rRNA from 1 species
GUUAAGCGACUAAGCGUACACGGUGGAUGCCCUGGCAGUCAGAGGCGAUGAAGGACGUGCUAAUCUGCGAUAAGCGUCGGUAAGGUGAUAUGAACCGUUAUAACCGGCGAUUUCCGAAUGGGGAAACCCAGUGUGAUUCGUCACACUAUCAUUAACUGAAUCCAUAGGUUAAUGAGGCGAACCGGGGGAACUGAAACAUCUAAGUACCCCGAGGAAAAGAAAUCAACCGAGAUUCCCCCAGUAGCGGCGAGCGAACGGGGAGCAGCCCAGAGCCUGAAUCAGUGUGUGUGUUAGUGGAAGCGUCUGGAAAGGCGCGCGAUACAGGGUGACAGCCCCGUACACAAAAAUGCACAUGCUGUGAGCUCGAUGAGUAGGGCGGGACACGUGGUAUCCUGUCUGAAUAUGGGGGGACCAUCCUCCAAGGCUAAAUACUCCUGACUGACCGAUAGUGAACCAGUACCGUGAGGGAAAGGCGAAAAGAACCCCGGCGAGGGGAGUGAAAAAGAACCUGAAACCGUGUACGUACAAGCAGUGGGAGCACGCUUCGGCGUGUGACUGCGUACCUUUUGUAUAAUGGGUCAGCGACUUAUAUUCUGUAGCAAGGUUAACCGAAUAGGGGAGCCGAAGGGAAACCGAGUCUUAACUGGGCGUUAAGUUGCAGGGUAUAGACCCGAAACCCGGUGAUCUAGCCAUGGGCAGGUUGAAGGUUGGGUAACACUAACUGGAGGACCGAACCGACUAAUGUUGAAAAAUUAGCGGAUGACUUGUGGCUGGGGGUGAAAGGCCAAUCAAACCGGGAGAUAGCUGGUUCUCCCCGAAAGCUAUUUAGGUAGCGCCUCGUGAAUUCAUCUCCGGGGGUAGAGCACUGUUUCGGCAAGGGGGUCAUCCCGACUUACCAACCCGAUGCAAACUGCGAAUACCGGAGAAUGUUAUCACGGGAGACACACGGCGGGUGCUAACGUCCGUCGUGAAGAGGGAAACAACCCAGACCGCCAGCUAAGGUCCCAAAGUCAUGGUUAAGUGGGAAACGAUGUGGGAAGGCCCAGACAGCCAGGAUGUUGGCUUAGAAGCAGCCAUCAUUUAAAGAAAGCGUAAUAGCUCACUGGUCGAGUCGGCCUGCGCGGAAGAUGUAACGGGGCUAAACCAUGCACCGAAGCUGCGGCAGCGACGCUUAUGCGUUGUUGGGUAGGGGAGCGUUCUGUAAGCCUG